AGGGUACCCCAGUGGUGCAGCCGCUACUAACGGUUCGUUUGUUCAACGAUUAAAACCCUACGUGAUCUGAGUUCAGACCGGAGUAAUCCAGGUCGGUUUCUAUCUAUAAAGUGUCCUCCCUAGUACGAAAGGACCGGGACAACAUGGUCAAUGUCAAAACAAACCAUAAUCUUUUACUAAUGAAAUAUUCUUAAUUAGCCUAGACCUCACACUUAACCCUAGAUUAGGGU
rnacentral:rRNA from 1 species